UUUCUUCUCACUCUUUUUCUUUCUCCUUUGUUUUCGCAUUGAAGAAGAAAACCCACCGCUCUUUCCUCUCUCGCAUUCAAAUUUAUUUUGAAUCUCUGCGAUUUCGCUCUCAAAUUUGGCUCGGCUUCCUCGUUGCUCCGCCCCUCUCUAACGAAGUCAAGGUUUGGGUCCCUCGUCCUCGCUCUCUGCUCCGGUGCUCGCUCCGUCUCUGCUCCAGCGCACGCUCGCUCUCGAAAAAAUCCGGCGCUCGGUCCGUCGCUCGCUCGCUCCGUCUCUGCUCCGGCGCAGCUUUCCUUCGCCCAUUAAUCUGCUGGGGCGGCCGAGAUCUGGGGAUCCCAUUUUCACUUCAUUCAGGUGGUAGACAGUGGUGAAAUUUCGCAUAGUGCUUGAGAUGGUGGUCCAGAAGAACUCCCUGUAGUUCUAGCCGGGCACUUCUAGACGAAUGUGUGGGGAUGAGCUCAACUAUAGUUCCUGACCAGCAUCAUCAGUCCAGCAGCCGAUCCAGCCUCGGUUCUGAUGGGGCUGUAUCUCCUUAUGCAGGAAGUGAAGAUAGCCAUUUUCGUAGAGCAAAAGAGGAAUUGCAAUCAAUGGUCAAAAGCCAUUUGAAAAGCCUUUUGAGAGAAAUUGAUUUAGGUGCCUUGCCUAUGAACUUAUCGAUAUAAUCGUUGAUGCAGGUCAUGGUGAGUUUAAGGAAAUAGCGAGGUGUUCCACUCAUACUGUAUUGGCUGCUUGUGACCUUGAGCACAAGAGGAGCGAGGUCUACACGAUCCCUCUGCCUUCCUUUUAUUCCCGCAUAGACAAAAUGGCAACUGGACAAACAAUUCUGAUGAGAGGAGUUUACUCAACAUCUUUUGAUGUUUUCGUCAAAGAUGUAACCCAAAACAUAAUGUACACAAGACUACCACUGCAUUGGUUAAGGUCUUUACGAAUUGAUAAACGUGGGUUGCCAUUUUUUGCACGUCCAUCCUUCUUUUUGGGGGGAUUUAGAUGAGAAGUAGGGGGAUUUUUGUCUAUACUGAUAACUGUUCGUAGUCCCAAGAGGAUCCAUUUUUAUGUGAUUACAUCGAUGAUAUUUAUUUUUUGGUUGAAGGGGUCCUAUUUUUGGAA